rnacentral:rRNA from 1 species
GAGGGUACAUCAGCGGCAGACGGGUGAGUAACACGUAGGUGACCUGCCCUAAAGCUGGGGAUAACGGAUGGAAACAUACGCUAAUACCCAAUAGACCUGUGAGGUCGCACUCAUAGGUAAAGCUCCGGCGCUUUAGGAGGGGCCUGCGGCCCAUCAGCUAGUUGGUAGGGUAACGGCCUACCAAGGCGAAGACGGGUAGGGGGUGUGAGAGCACGACCCCCCACAAUGGGACUGAGACACGGGCCAUACUUCUACGGGAGGCAGCAGCAGGGAAUAUUGCACAAUGGACGCAAGUCUGAUGCAGCGACGCCGCGUGGAUGAUGAAGGCCCUCGGGUCGUAAAAUCCUUUUCAGGGGGACGAGGAAGGACGGUACCCCUGGAAUAAGCGUCGGCUAACUACGUGCCAGCAGCCGCGGUAAGACGUAGGACGCAAGCGUUAUCCGGAUUUACUGGGCGUAAAGCGUCUGUAGGCGGUUCGAUAAGUUGGGCGUGAAAGCUCCGGGCUUAACCCGGAGAGGUCGUUCAAUACUGUCGAACUAGAGGACAUCAGAGGAGCAUGGAAUUUCCGGUGUAGCGGUAAAAUGCGCAGAUAUCGGAAGGAACACCAGUGGCGAAGGCGGUGCUCUGGGGGUGGGCCUGACGCUGAGAGACGAAAGCUAGGGGAG